AGGAGGAGGAAGCAGACGGAACGCUAAAAAGAGGAGGAGGUUUUCUUUUCUCCUCUCUAGCAUUUCGUUUGCUUCCUCCUCCCC
rnacentral:pre_miRNA from 1 species